AGUGAACGCUGGCGGUAGGCCUAACACAUGCAAGUCGAACGGCAGCACAGUAAGAGUUUGCUCUUACGGGUGGCGAGUGGCGGACGGGUGAGGAAUACAUCGGAAUCUACUUUUUCGUGGGGGAUAACGUAGGGAAACUUACGCUAAUACCGCAUACGACCUACGGGUGAAAGCAGGGGAUCUUCGCACCUUGCGCGAUUGAAUGAGCCGAUGUCGGAUUAGCUAGUUGGCGGGGUAAAGGCCCACCAAGGCGACGAUCCGUAGCUGGUCUGAGAGGAUGAUCGGCCACACUGGAACUGAGACACGGUCCAGACUCCUACGGGAGGCAGCAGUGGGGAAUAUUGGACAAUGGGCGCAAGCCUGAUCCAGCCAUACCGCGUGGGUGAUGAAGGCCUUCGGGUUGUAAAGCCCUUUUGUUGGGAAAGAAAAGCAGCAGGUUAAUACCCCGCUGUUCUGACGGUACCCAAAGAAUAAGCACCGGCUAACUUCGUG
rnacentral:rRNA from 1 species